GCUGCCUCUCCUCUGAUCUGCCUCGUGUUUUCCUGCGUUUACAGGCCAUUCUUCUUCAGAGUAAAUUAGCUGUCAGAGUCCUUCCUCCUCCUGCAUAAUGACACUCUCUAAAUUUGAUGUCCGGCAAAAUGGAAAACAACUGUAUGUGGAUGGCUUGGAGACUCUGGCUGUUUCCUUCUUGCAUUUUAACUUUAUAGAGAAAUUAUGGAAUCAUCAACUGAGGCGGGCAGCUUUAUGCACAGCCUCCCUCUCGCUCUGUGAGAUUGCCUUUUUGUUUUUAUUGCCAGGGGCUGCUGCUGCAAAGACAGACAGAUGCCUUUGUUAAAGAGAUGGUUGUUAAUGC